AUCAUACCAGUCCUCUAUGUUGGUGCUAAUAUUGCCAGCACUUUACAGAUUAGGAAAGUGAAGGGCGGGUAAAGGAACCUGUCCAUGGUCAUAACAGUGUGUGGCAGAGCCAGGGUCAGAAUCCAGAAACUUUGACUCCUGAUCAAACUGCUUCUGUUGUUUGAGUUUCCAUUUUACUGGGCAGACCUUGUCAUUCCAGGAAGGGCUUAAUGCGUUAGAAUUAUUUAUAUCACAUGUGAUUAUAUCUCCUGGGAUCUAUGAUUGACUCUAUGAGUUAAUCAUAGCUGUGUCAAUGUACAUCUUUGCAUUUUAAUUCUUAGCUGCAAAAGAGGGAAGAUGAACCAAAUGCUCUCCCAGGAUUUUCCAGUACUGUGAACAGUCUGUAAGCCCGUGGAGUUCACUUUCACUCAAGCAGUUUACCGGAUGUCACUUGACGGCCUGACAAAGGGAAAUUGGUUAAAAUUGUAGCAGAAGACUAGUGUCCAGAUUGUUUGGAAGUGUGAAGGAAGGAUCCCAGGAGAAAGAGCUGAGCAAGACAUCUGUGGUAAUAAAACAAUCAAUAAAAUUGAAUCCAAGAAGGUGACUAUUCAGGAUAUCCUGUUGACACUGCAAAGCCACUGAUGAUGUGAAAAUUACAAUAGCAUUCCAUUUCUUACUUUCAUUUGGUUGCCAAAUAAAUGCAAAUUAAGAACUAGGCUUAGUUGAGGUAGAUUCUUCAACCUUUAACCACAGGAUUUUCUGUUGGUGUGAAAUAUCUUUAGACACUAUAUGGAGAGAGAUACCUCUUUGAAUGACAAAAAAAUUAUCUUCUGUGAACAGAUAUAAGAAGAGACUCCUAAAUCCAGUGCAGAAAGUAGUGGCCAAGAGACAUUUCUCUGCCUUUAUCAAUCCCCCAAAAGGAGCCUAA
rnacentral:lncRNA from 1 species